CACGGGGGGAGCAAGCGUUGUUCGGAUUCAUUGGGCGUAAAGGGCUCGUAGGUGGCUUUGUAAGUCGGAGGUGAAAUCCCACGGCUCAACCGUGGACACGCCUUCGAAACUGUGAAGCUUGAGGCUGGGAGAGGAAAUCGGAAUUCCUGGUGUAGCGGUGAAAUGCGUAGAUAUCGAGAGGAACACCCGCGGCGAAGGCGGGUUGCUGGGCUGACACUGACGCUGAUGCGCGAAAGCCAGGGGAGCGAACGGG
rnacentral:rRNA from 1 species